rnacentral:misc_RNA from 1 species
GAAAUGCGAUACUUGGUGUGAAUUGCAGAAUCCCGUGAACCAUCGAGUCUUUGAACGCAAGUUGCGCCCCAAGCCUUCUGGCCGAGGGCACGUCUGCCUGGGUGUCACAAAUCGUCGUCCCCCCAAUCCUUUACGGAUAAUGGGACGGAAGCUGGUCUCCCGUGUGUUACCGCACGCGGUUGGCCAAAAUCCGAGCCAAGGAUGCCUUGAGCGUUCCGACAUGCGGUGGUGAGUUUAACAAGCUGCUUUAUAUGUUGGUCGUUCUUGUCCGAAAGCUCUUGAUGACCCAAAGUCUCCAAAGCGACCCCAGGUCAGGCGGGAUUACCCGCUGAGUUUAA